AGAGUUUGAUUCUGGCUCAGGAUGAACGCUGGCGGCGUGCUUAACACAUGCAAGUCGAACGGAAGUUUAACGCUGACGAGACUUCGGUCAAAUCUUGUAAACUUAGUGGCGGACGGGUGAGUAACGCGUGGGUAACCUGCCGUAUGCAGGGGGACAACAGUUGGAAACGACUGCUAAUACCGCAUAAGCGCACGGUUUUGCAUGAAACAGUGUGAAAAGAUUUAUCGGCAUACGAUGGACCCGCGUUUGAUUAGCUAGUUGGUGAGGUAACGGCCCACCAAGGCUACGAUCAAUAGCCGGCCUGAGAGGGCAAUCGGCCACAUUGGGACUGAGACACGGCCCAAACUCCUACGGGAGGCAGCAGUGGGGAAUAUUGCACAAUGGGGGAAACCCUGAUGCAAGCGACGCCGCGUGAGUGAAGAAGUAUUUCGGUAUGUAAAGCUCUAUCAGCAGGGAAGAUGAUGACGGUACCUGACUAAGAAGCCCCGGCUAACUACGUGCCAGCCGCCGC
rnacentral:rRNA from 1 species